UCCAGGCGUCUUUUGAAAAUUAAAUGCUCCGGGAUGUAUAUCAGAAGGCCACCACCUUUUUUACCAUUUCUGUCGGAACGAAGGAAGGUGUAGUGAUCAACAGCUAAGAUCGCAUUAUCCCACGAGUUGUCUAAGAAUGUUUCGGAAAGGCCAAGUAUCAAAUUUGAUCUGAUGGAUUUUGAUGAGGAAAUUCGAUUUGAAAGUAUCAGUUUGAUUUCAUCUAAUUUAUUUGUUAACGACUGGACAUU